rnacentral:rRNA from 1 species
AUUGAACGCUGGCGGCAUGCCUUACACAUGCAAGUCGAACGGCAGCGGGGGAGAAGCUUGCUUUUCCUGCCGGCGAGUGGCGAACGGGUGAGUAAUACAUCGGAACGUGCCCUGUAGUGGGGGAUAACUAGUCGAAAGAUUAGCUAAUACCGCAUACGACCUGAGGGUGAAAGUGGGGGACCGCAAGGCCUCAUGCUAUAGGAGCGGCCGAUGUCUGAUUAGCUAGUUGGUGGGGUAAAGGCCUACCAAGGCGACGAUCAGUAGCUGGUCUGAAAGGACGAUCAGCCACACUGGGACUGGGACACGGCCCAGACUCCUACGGGAGGCAGCAGGGGGGAAUUUUGGACAAGGGGCGAACGCCUGAUCCAGCAAUGCCGCGUGUGUGAAGAAGGCCUUCGGGUUGUAAAGCACUUUUGUCCGGAAAGAAAUGGCUCUGGUUAAUACCUGGGGUCGAUGACGGUACCGGAAGAAUAAGGACCGGCUAACUACGUGCCAGCAGCCGCCGUAA